UUUUGAUGCACAAAGAUAAUUGGGUGAUUUGUUAGUAAAACAUUAAAAAAAAAAAGAAGAAAAGUUACUGAAAAAACGUGGUUAAAACUCUUAAAAUGGGCAAAACCUUGUAAAAUUUAGCAAAUUGUCCAUGUAGAAUAUUAAUACAUGUUAAGAACACGUUAUACAUUGUAUGCAUACAAUCAGCUGUUUGUGUAUUGUAAAUAUAUCUUCAACAAGGGGUCUUUGUAAAAUUUUAGUUCUGAGCAAAAUUAUUUCCCACUUGCUUUUAUUGACAGCUAUGUGUCAAAACCUCAUGGUUACUGUCAGAAAUAUCAAACUUUACCGCUGUCUUAGAGCAUAGGUUUAUUAAUUUACACAAAUAAAGAAGUGAGGAUGGAGGAAAAUCUGUAGCUAAGAUUUUUAAAAAGUUGGAGGUCAUUUUGCUUUGUUCCAGGGCUGUGCAAAACUGUAAUAUGCUUGUCAGUUAAACUGGCUUGGGGUUGUUUACCCAUUCCGGGCACCUAGCCAGCCUGACUUACAAAACUGCAAUUAUCAUGAUUGUUAGGAAUAGUUCCACUUCUCUAGGAUUUCUUCUCCCUUGCUUCUUUUCUUCUUUGAGGAAGUCUUAAAUUUUCCUGUCAGUUCUGAGGAGACCCUAAUUUUCCCCUCAGGGGUUCCCACAGAGAUGCAGAGGCUCUCCAGCUCGGUGACAGACAUCCUUCCAGAUGCAACAAGCAAGAGUGUCAAUCCUUGGGAUCAAAUCCCUGCUGGCCCCGGCCAACAAAGCCAGGUCUUGCUGCUAGGAGACCCACAGUGUUCACUUUUUUUUUUUUUAAUUUUAUGGUUUAAUGCAGAAUUUCUAAAUAUAUGUCUAAUUUGAAGGCUGAGAGGCUUUGGCACUUGUGUUGUUUCUCAUUUAUGGCCACACCGUCCCUGUGGCAGUUGCUGGUGGUUUGUCCACAAACGCUCCUGGGGUAUUUUGAGGCCCCUCCACAAACAUGAAUUGGGAAGACAGAAGGGCACCAGGUGCUGGGCACCCAGCAGCUUUUGGGCUGCAGGUGCUGUGAAGUGCCCACCGUUUGAAGGCGCUCGGGUAACAUGGUGUUUACUGCGCUGUUGCCUCCGGCCUCGCUGUCUCCAGGAAGAAUAAGCAACCGCUUCUGUUGGGCUCCUAGAUAACUCCUUUCCAACUCUUCCCAGUCUGCCGCGCUGGCUAGACGUAGCGGUGGAUGGCUUUCGUUAUCAGGCAGAGCACGCGGGAAGGUGCAGUUUCAUGUUGCUGGUGUGAGCUGGGAUCGCGGCUUCCUUCACGAGAAAGCCUGCGAGGUGGUGAUAGCGUGUUGACGUAGCGGGGAAACCGGGCAAGUCUGUAAUCUUCGCCGUGUCGUACUCUGCUGUUUUAUCGUCGGUGAUUUGCAGGGUCAAGUAUGGCCGCAGGCCAGGCACGGCGCAUGGAUGCCCUUGCGCAGCUCUCGAACGGAGCUCCUGUUGUGCACAAGAGGAAAAACAGAUGUAAAAGACCCUUAAUCUCAGCUGUCAUCCCCGCAGGGCAGCUGUGCCUCUUCCGUGUCUUCCGCAUACCAUAUAAUGCUGGCUUCAGAAAUACUUCUGUGGAUGUUACGGCCCAGCUCUUGAGAUCACAAAGUUAAGUCUGCAGACUCCUAUUUUGAUGUGAUCAGUCUUGAGACGCCUACUAAGAAACAAGCAGAAGUGGAUGAGUGGUAAAGCUUAGAAGGGAUCUCUGGAGGUCAUCUGGUCCCACCCACCCCUACUCAAGGAGGGCCACCUACAGCUGGUUGCCCAGGACCAUGAUCAGAAGCUUUUUGAGUAUCUCCAAGGAUGGAGUCCCUACAGCCUCUUUAGGCAACCUGUGCCGGUGCCUGUCACCCUGACAGAGGGAUGAGGAGGACCAAAAGAACUCUGUCACCAUCAUCUCAUUUUCUAUUGCACUUCAAAAUCUUUGCAUAUCAAACCACUCUCCAUCCUGUGAGUACCUCACGAGGUAAUUGUAUUUUGGAUUUUGUUUGUUAGUAAGUCUGGUGCAUGGCUUGCCAAUCAUGUCCCUCGCAAGUAGGAAAAAAAAUGCAGACUUGUGAGCAAAGUAUUUUCUAGAGAAAUCAGAGUGACUGUACAGGACUGGACCAUGAUGAUUGUGUGCUAUACAGGGCCUCUCCUCCUGAUACUUCUUCCCUUGGAAAGAAAAAUUCACCUGUGUGCCAUCUUCAGUAUAACUGAGUUCCCAAGCUGUGUGACUUAAGGUUGCCAACCCAGCCUCUGCUACAGCCUUGUGAGACUGCCUGUGUGUUGACAGCUGCUGACAGUUCCUUUAGGAUGGAAAAUCAUAAUGCAAACUGUAAUUGAGUUGAGGUAUCUCCUCCUUCCUACUCUCUUCAGCAGCAUACUUGUCAUGUUCCAGAUGAACGUUAAGUGCCUCAACUUCCACCAGCAAACCCAGGGAGAGUACAGGCUCUAUUGAAGAAAGUCUCUCCCGUCCACUCGGCCAGAAAUGGUUUGUUUGCUGCCCAGUUCCUUAGAUGCCUGCAGUCUUGUUUUAUCCACUGUUUGGGUAAAGUAUGAAAAGUAUCGGUGUAAAGUUAAGCAGUUUACAGCUCAGUAUGACUUUAAUCUCACCUAAAAAGAUUACUUAAUUCCCCUGAACCUUGUUUUCAGUAUAAUGGUGCAUGGAGCAGUGUCUUUUAGCAAUGUCAGCAAUCCAGUGAAGGACUCACUGAAGGAAACUGCUUCACAUCCUGGAUUCAUGCAAAUUAGGAAGCUUGAACAAGGAAAAGACCUGUAGAGGAACAUCCUACAGCCCCUCUCUUACAGCGAGUGCUUUGAGGCUUACAGGAGACCUUUACGGAGCAUCUCAGCUCUCGUGCACUAUGAUCAGGAGGCAGCCCGACACCCUGGCUGUCAUGUGGACUACAGGCACGAUGGGAUCGUGUAUCCCUCAUCACUGACACAAGGGCGUAAGAAAUACUGCCAAGCGUGCUGGAGGCUGACAGGGAAACCCAGCAUGUGAAGCCUGAUCAUGCAGCUCCUGUGCUUUGCAUCCAAGACCAGAAAGCCAGCCGAAGAACUCCACAGCAGACGCAC